GGACUACCGGGGUAUCUAAUCCUGUUCGCUCCCCACGCUUUCGCUCCUCAGCGUCAGUGAUGGCCCAGAGACCCGCCUUCGCCACCGGUGUUCCUCCUGAUAUCUGCGCAUUCCACCGCUACACCAGGAAUUCCAGUCUCCCCUGCCACACUCCAGCCAGCCCGUACCGGAAGCAGACCCGCCGUUGAGCAGCGGGCUUUCACUCCCGACGCGACAAGCCGCCUACGAGCCCUUUACGCCCAAUAAAUCCGGACAACGCUAGCACCCUACGUAUUACCGCGGCGGCUGGCAC
rnacentral:rRNA from 1 species